rnacentral:misc_RNA from 1 species
CCAAGCAUGAUGCUUCUUCGGUCCUGCGAAGGAAAAACGAGAAACGAGGAGGAUCGAACAACCGCGAGAAAAUGCAUAAUCGAGAGAAUUCGAAAGCGCGGCUAAUUAGAUUCGCGGGCGUACUCGGCGAUACGCGCUGACUAUGGCCGAGCUGGCGUUUCUUUCGCGGCCAUGUAAGAUGUAAACGAGAGCUAACGUAGAAUCUCGCCGGUAAUAAGUGCAACCGGUGCGCUUGUGCUGGUAUGCGAACGCGCUACACGUGAACGCCUACGGAGUCCGAGAUUCACGCCGAGAUCUUCGCC